rnacentral:lncRNA from 1 species
CGCUAUAGGCGGAAGCGGCUGGCCUCAGGAUCGCGAUGAUUGGCUGAUGGAGGGGGUGGGACCCUUGGGUUCAUUCAUCUGAGCCGCACGUGUCAUUUAAAGCCGCAACCAUAACAGGGCCCGGCGGGGCGGGGCGAGACGAGGGGCAAGCCCCUAGGAGACCAGCAGGCGCGAAGGGAAGGGCCGAAAGGAGGAGCGAGGGCGGAAUCUGGGAGACUAAAUGUCAUAGCGGGGGACAGGAACGAUCUCUCGCGUUACAGGUGGAGAAACUGAGGCACUGAACGGCAAAGACUCAGAUCUCUAAGCCGCCUGAGUGCAACUGUUAACUCUUCUCUCUCCUGCUGAGGAUAAUUACCGAGCUAGGAGAUUUGGGUUGAAAUCCUCCCCCCAAAGGAAGAUCGUGUCCGAUGCACCAGUUGCUUCCGGGCAGGACCAGAGAUGCUGGAUCCUUUGUCUCGGAGCUACAAAGAGGAAAAGAACCUCUAAGGGCAAUUUUGCAAAUCCAACUUCACGCCUGGAAGUCUUGCGUCCCCUUCCCCUCUUGGCAUGCUUUCCCCUCGGGGCUCAAGUCUAAAGUCCGCUCCUUACGGAAGGCUUUCCUGGACUCUGCCCCCAGUCUUCCCCCCGGUUCGGUUCGGUUUGGUUUUUAAUUUUGUUAUCUGCUUAUAAGUGACCGGAGUUGUGGUUAGAAAUCCUUCCGGAGGGAGGGAUCUUGGUGGUGCUGCCUCCUUUUAUAUUGGCUGGGUAAGCCCGGUAAGCUCCCAGCCAGUGCCCCAGACCACCCUUGUCUCCAGUCUGCAGAGAAGGUCCGUCGGUCCCAAGCCCAGCGCCAUGCCUAGCUGGUCCGCAGCCCUUCACAAACGUUUCUAGGGCCGACGAGGACCGGACUCAGUCUUGGGGGCUUCUCAAAUCCUGUCAUCCACAAUGGGGCGCAGCUAAGCUUCGGAAUCUUGCAUCCUUGCAAAGAAGAGCCUGUCUCGAACCCGGGAAGCUCUCCACGACAGUGGGCCUUCCUUUCUCUGGACUAAGCAUUGAGGCAGAUGGGGGGGGGGGGCAGCCCACGUUGGCAGGACAAGGGGACAAGGACUUUGGCAUGGAGGAAAAUGUAAAAUUGCAUCGAUUGCCUAACGCCUCAAAUCUCCAAGGGGGUGAAGGGAAGCCAGAACACAGGAGCCGGCCUGGAAAGCAGAGAGGUGGAGGGAUGGGAGAGUUGGGUGAGGACCAAGAAUGGCCUUUGGACUGGAGAGAUGGAAGGGCAGGAAGGCAGAUGAGGGCUUAGAUUCCUUUCCUAAUUGUUCUUCAACCCAGCUCAAAGACUGCCUCCUCUCAAGGCCUUCCCUCUCCCCACAAAAUGACCUUCUAUUUAUUUGGGGUCCACUUUGGAUUGACUUCUCCACGGACGCGUGCUCGCUGCCUCCCCCACCCCAGUAGAGGUCAAGAUGGGUUUCAUUUCCUUCAGAUACUCUAGAAUUUUGCCAGGUAUCAGUCAGUCAGGCUUAAGAGUUUGCCACCUUCGCUUCCUCCCCUUUUUGAUAACUAUCUGCGCAGAUAUUCUCCGCCCAACCUUGGGGAGGCCACACGGAGAUGGGAUCAUCCAGAGCUUCCAGCUCCAUCCUUGAGUGGCGUCCUCAUCACUGAUCAGAGACUCCGAAAAGCUGCCCAGGAGAGGCCCAUUCCAGCUGGCAAAUGGUCUCUUGGAGGCAGCGGCGAUCCAAUGAGGGGAAAGAAGGAAGGAUCCUUCAUGGCAAGUCCCUCCAGGCUCUGGAGUAGAGAAAUGGACUUGCCAUGAUUCAAAUUCUCUGGAACUGCAUCCUAGUUUAAAGGUAUUUAUUAAAUAAUAAAAGUGGGCCAGAAAAAGAAAAGGCA